AGAGGAGCUUGCUCCUUGGGUGACGAGUGGCGACGGGUGAGUAAUGUCUGGGAACUGCCCGAUGGAGGGGGAUAACUACUGGAAACGGUAGCUAAUACCGCAUAACGUCUACGGACCAAAGUGGGGGACCUUCGGGCCUCACACCAUCGGAUGUGCCCAGAUGGGAUUAGCUUGUUGGUGAGGUAAUGGCUCACCAAGGCGACGAUCCCUAGCUGGUCUGAGAGGAUGACCAGCCACACUGGAACUGAGACACGGUCCAGACUCC
rnacentral:rRNA from 1 species